AGGUUGUCUGGGCGGACACUGACAAAGUUGGUUGUGCUGCACAAGCAUGUCAGAAUGGUAUUGCUGAAACAUUGUUUUCAUCAUCUCCUGGAACCGUAUUUGUGUGCUACUAUGCAACAGUAGGAAAUUAUGCUAAUUUGUCUCCAUACAAAAAGGGCGAAUCAUGCAGCGGUUGUGGCACAGAGACAUGUGAAAACAAUCUCUGCCAAAACUCAACACGGGAUAUCCGGAAGAGGUAUAACUGGAGGCCGGACUGGGACCCUGCAAUCUCCUCCUGCGAUUCACUCUGUGGGUCAUUUCAUGAAAUCGAUGCCUUUUGCAUCCCUAAGAAAUAAUCAGACAUAGAAGUACUAUAACAACAAAUAAACUUGUCAUUUAAACCAA